rnacentral:rRNA from 1 species
CUCAGAACGAACGCUGGCGGCGUGGAUUAGGCAUGCAAGUCGAGCGGGAUCAUCGAAGCUUGCUUUGAUGGUGAGAGCGGCGAACGGGUGAGGAAUACUUGGGUGACCUGCCUUUAAGUCUGGAAUAGCUUCGGGAAACUGGAGGUAAUGCCGGAUGUGAUCGUCCACUACAAAGUGGACUGUUUAAAGAGGGGGAUCUUCGGACCUCUCGCUUAGAGAUGGGCCCAAGCCCUAUCAGCUUGUUGGUGAGGUAACGGCUCACCAAGGCCAAGACGGGUAGCUGGUCUGAGAGGAUGGUCAGCCACACUGGGACUGAGACACUGCCCAGACUCCUACGGGAGGCUGCAGUCGAGAAUCAUUCACAAUGCACGAAAGUGUGAUGAUGCGACGCCGCGUGAAGGAUGAAGGCCUUAGGGUUGUAAACUUCUGUCAGAAGGAAAGAACAGUCCGCCGGGGAAUAUCCGGCGGAUUUGACGGUACCUUCAGAGGAAGCCACGGCUAACUCUGUGCCAGCAGCCGCGGUAAUACAGAGGUGGCAAGCGUUGUUCGGAUUUACUGGGCGUAAAGGGUGCGUAGGCGGUUUCGUGUGUCAGAUGUGAAAGCCCAUGGCUCAACCAUGGAAUUGCAUUUGAAACUGCGGAACUCGAGUAUCGGAGAGGUAGAUGGAAUUCUAGGUGUAGCGGUGAAAUGCGUAGAUAUCUAGAAGAACACCAGCGGCGAAAGCGAUCUACUGGACGAAUACUGACGCUGAGGCACGAAAGCCACGGGAGCGAAGAGGAUUAGAUACCCUCGUAGUCCUGGCCAUCAACGGUGCACACUUGGUGUGGGAGGUUCUAUCCCCUUCCGUGCCGGA